rnacentral:lncRNA from 1 species
GAACCUAGUGCAGAUAAGGGAGCGCAAUUACUUGAAGUGGAAACAGAUGCUAUGUGAGUCUUUUCUAAUAGGGACGUCCAAAUGCUAAUGGCGCUACCGCAGAGGCCUAAUGCAGCUGCUGGGUCAGUGUAGAAUCACCCACAUCUUCAGAGAAAGCGAACCAGCGUGUAGAUCGAACGGCCAUAUUGAGGGAAAGGAAAGGACGAGAGCACGAGAGAGACAAAAGGGAAAAGUAGCUUUGUCUCAUCGCAGGAAAGAGAGUCAACAUGCACUGAUUAACCUAACUAGGAGUGCUCCCUCCAAGCACAGCUGGGUGAGGAUAAAGAUCGUGUAAACGAUCGACACCGGUCAUGCACUGGUCCGGAUAGCGAGUUCAAUUGAGAUGAAAAGUAGGGUUUCUCGCCAUGGAUGGUCCUCUUCGUUGGAUUGAGACCGAGCGCCAACCCCACCGCCAGCAUUCGAGCAGGACCAUGACAGAGAAUUGUGGACACCUCCACUAACAUCGAAUGGCACGACGAGGGUCGUCCUCUUUUGGGACGCGAUAAUGAUGGAAUCGUACAAAUCUCUUCGUCAAACCAUGAAUGAUUUUGCCAGUGUGUUCAUGGUUUAUUU